AGAGUUUGAUCCUGGCUCAGAUUGAACGCUGGCGGCAUGCCUAACACAUGCAAGUCGAACGGUAGCAGGCCUUCGGGUGCUGACGAGUGGCGGACGGGUGAGUAAUGCGUAGGAAUCUGUCUUUUAGUGGGGGACGAACCCACGGGAAACGUUAGGGCGUAAUACCGCAUGAGCCCUCGAGGGGGGAAAGGGACGGGGAGUCUUCGGACCUCGCGCUAAGAGAAGAGCCUACGUCUGAUUAGCUAGUUGGUAGGGUAAAGGGCCUA
rnacentral:rRNA from 1 species